rnacentral:tRNA from 1 species
GGCGUGUGGUAGCCAAGUGGUAAGGCAGAGGUCUGCAAAACCUUUAUUCGUGGGUUCGAUUCCCACCCGCGCCUCCA